UACGGGGGGUGCAAGCGUUAAUCGGAGUUAUUGGGCGUAAAGGGUACGUAGGUGGUUCAUUAAGUUAUGUGGGAAAUACCUGGGCUUAACCUGGGAAUGUCGGAUAAUACUGGUGAACUUGAGUAUAGUAGAGGGUAGUGGAAUUUCCGGUGUAGCGGUGAAAUGCGUAGAGAUCGGAAGGAACACCAGUGGCGAAGGCG
rnacentral:rRNA from 1 species